rnacentral:rRNA from 1 species
AGAGUUUGAUCAUGGCUCAGGACUAACGCUGGCGGCGUGCCUAACACAUGCAAGUCGAACGGACUGUAGCAAUACAGUUAGUGGCAGACGGGUGAGUAACACGUAGAUAACCUACCCCUCCGUUGGGGAUAGCCACUGGAAACGGUGGGUAAAACCGAAUAUUCUCGCUUGAAGGCAUCUUCGGGUGAGGAAAACCUCGGUGUGGAGGGAUGGGUUUGCGACCUAUCAGCUAGUUGGUGAGGUAAUGGCUCACCAAGGCGUCGACGGGUAACCGGUCUGAGAGGACGGUCGGUCACACUGGCACUGAGAUACGGGCCAGACUCCUACGGGAGGCAGCAGUGAGGGAUUUUGCACAAUGGAGGAAACUCUGAUGCAGCGACGCCGCGUGCGGGGUGAAGCCUUUCGGGGUGUAAACCGCUGUCAGUGGGGAAGAGUAUGGACGGUACCCACUGAGGAAGCAUCGGCUAACUACGUGCCAGCAGCCGCGGUAAGACGUAGGGUGCAAGCGUUGUCCGGAAUCACUGGGCGUAAAGAGCUCGUAGGCGGGGUCGUGCGUCGUGGAGUAAAUCUCUCUGCUUAACGGAGAGUUCUUCUGCGAUACGGCGACUCUUGAGGACAGGAGAGGAAAGCGGAAUUCCGAGUGUAGCGGUGAAAUGCGUAGAUAUUCGGAGGAACACCAGUGGCGAAGGCGGCUUUCUGGCCUGAUUCUGACGCUGAGGAGCGAAAGCCAGGGUAGCGAACGGGAUUAGAUACCCCCGUAGUCC